AAAUAUUAAUUUGUCAGAAUUCGAGUGUUUUGCCACAUAGCAGGUGUAACAUCAAAGGAUUGACAAAUGCCAGUUUAAAUAACAGACUAUGGCAAUCAUCUCUAUGAGCUGCAAGAGCCCUUCUGGAUUUCUCUUUUAAUUGGUGCUGCAAUUGUUCCAGUGCCUUGAGAAUUGUUAUGACAAUAAUUAUGGCUGCAAUUGAAUAGAGAGCAAUAGCAGAGAAAUACUCAUGCCUUGGUUGGUCUUGCACUUCUUUUAUUACAUCAAUACAAGUACCACUCAAGCAAACUCUUGCAAGAAAGAAUGUGCUCAUAUGUCAAAAAUCCCAGCCAUCUCAAGGGUGCUGUUUGGUGCCACUUAUAUGCCAGUAUGUUGACUCUGAAGUUGUCUCGAAAUUAUUUCUGGAAAUUAAAUACAAGUCCUUGCUGUUACACAUGCUAGGGAAAAAUAAAAUUCAAAAAAAGAAUAUUUUUUGUCAUACAACGUGACCAAUAAUGUUACUUCAAUAAUUUUAACAGCAGUAAAAUUGGCAUAUAUAGACUAACUUUUCUUCUGAACCUUGGAAAAUUGGGAAAAAGUUUUAAAUAUAGUCUUUGAAACUGAAGUACUUAAAAAAAAAAAAUUAGCUAUCUUAAAAGUCCCUCUUCUGUUUUCACCAGGGACUAAUAUUUUGAGUGGUUAUAGGCACGUUGUGACUGCAUAUUCAUAUACAAGCUCAUCUGGACGUUACAAGACCAGAAUUUGGCUUCAUCAUAAGGAUUGCAAAAUUUGGGCAAUAUCUGAGGUUUAGGUAUAAAUGGGCAGUACUGAUUCACAGUAUGAAACUGACAUAUAUAUACAGAUAUAUAGAUAUGUUAAGAACUAUUUAUUUGAAUAGACUUUAUUUUGAAAGUCUUGUCAGUUGAAUUUUGCAUGAGAUAAAGAGUUAUGCAGAUUGUGCUCAAAGAAAGGUUAGAGAGAGCAAGGAAAGGCCUGGACAGGCAGUCUCCGAGUCCUGGCAAGGCUAACAUUAUUCUAGGUCAAAUAGCUGUAAAUAAGCUUACACAUGCUGUGAAUGUGUGUAUGGGGAACAUUUUUCAAAGAACCUUUCAGGGGUCAAUCAUCCUCCAUUUUAGGAUCUAGUUGUUCAGAAUAAAAAUCUACUUUGUCCCCCAUCUCAGUGCAAUAAACUCCCACUGAAGCAGUCAUGUAGACAAGAUGAACUGAUUUUAGUACAUCAGCUUUACAUCUGAAUGGACUAGGGACAGUCUGAUAGGCUCAGACUAUGUAUUCUGAUAGGCUCAGACUAUGUAUUCUUUGGCUUCUGUAAUGUUAUUACUUUUCUCUAGCUGGCUGCAUCCAAUUCUGCACAAUUUUUAAAUCUCAGAGGACAAGACCUUUUGUCCCAAGUCUUUUUAGCUAUUAUCCCUAAUAGUUCUCUGGAUGCUUUUUCUGUCUUUAAAUUAAGAUCCCUUUAACACCAUUAAAUAAUCAUUGGUGUAAGCAGAACAGUAAAGCUAAUGAAACAUAAAUGUCUCCAGUGCUGUGAAGUGUGUAUUCCAGUGGGAAAGUGGUUUUUAAGAAAAGAGCAGCCUACAAAAUAAUGUUUUAUAUUGAGAUAUACCUCUAAAUUAUAGCAAUAUGUUUCUCUAAAAACUAAAUAACACGAAGUCUUCAAUAUAUUAAUAUUGCACAUUAUAUAUAUUGCACAUUAUAUAUAUUGCACAGUGUUUAUUGAUUAUAUAGUAAUAUAAUUAAAAUUAAUUGAAAUGGCUAUAUGAUGUAAAGGUAUGUUAAUUAGCCAGUUAGUGUUAACUGUGUAGCAUUUUAGAUAAGAGAUUAUAGGGAAGGGUGUAGCUCUUUUGCCUAUGUAAUACUGGUUACUUAUGCUGAAUAGUAAAAGUUAAGAAACAGCAGAAAUGCCAAAAUUAAGUCUGUUUAACCUUUAUGUCAUCCAGUGUAUUAUAGUGACACAGAAUGCGGUUCGGCAAAACACGAGUACUGUUGUUCAGCUGAAAAAGUCACUUAGAUGCUCAGAGGAAGCCACAUAGGACCUCUUUCUUAGUCCCCCAGAGAAGGUACUUCUGUGUUGCAAAUGCAAAGUGCUGAAUAGAUAACACAAUGUCAUAAUAUUUCUUUUGGAUCCUCUCAGUCAUAGUGUGACUUUAUCUUGCUUGUUGUAUGUAAGCUGCACCUUAUGUCAACACUUAAAAUAGUUAUUUUCUUUUAUCUUGUUACCAUAGGAUCAGAGCACCCUACAAACACAAAUGAGUUAGCCAUCUCAGCUCCCAGAUACAGUAUUUUGUAAACUCCAUAAGUGUAUAUGUCCCAGAAUUUCCAGAAGCAACCUCUAUAGUGUUUCAUUACCUGCGUUCUUCCCUGGAGAUGCCUGAAACUUGUCUGAUGGCCACCAGUCACUCAUGGAUCUGCUGGCUUCAGCUGCACUGACUUGUCAGCAUCUAGGAAAUGCAGACUGUGGCUGUCUUGGGCUGGGGACCCAGAAAGGAGGCAGCAUAUCAUUAGUGGUCCAUGUGGUUGUUUACCUAGUAUAGAAUGAAAAUCCACAAAUCUGCAGUCUGGAAUCAGUGUGCACCACAGUCUGUACUAAUCCUCACUUUACUAAGUUUAUAGCUAUCUGUUUGAAUUCCUAUUGUUAACCUCAUCCCUUAAAAUAAUACAUGCACUUAUUUCCUUUAUAUAUACACAAGUUUCAUGGGAAAAUAGUACUGCAAUUCCUUCCAAGGGACAGGGUGUGCCAGUCAAGUUGAAUAACUAUAUACUUAUAUACCUUACAAAUGUCAGUAUGUCAGUUUUCUCAUGUAUAACACCAAAAGACAUUCUUAAGGGCGCUACUGUGAUUAAUGUCUAUAUACUUAUUAUACAAUCAGAAGUCAACAAACUUAUUUUAAGUUUUUUUUCUGUAUUAAACUAAUGUGAAGAAUCAGAAUAUUUUCAUUUUCAUUGGAGGAAUCAUGGCAGCAUCUAGGUUGUAGUACUUUUCACUUCCAUAAGAAAUGCACUGGUUUAUAAAAGAUUAUAAAUGUUUGAUAAGAGAGAAAAUGUUUUUGCACAGAACUUUCUUUCAUAUCCUCUUUUAUUUGAAGAUUCAUUAAUUAAUCCUUUUAAUUUUUCACCUUUGAUAAUGGUAGUACUUUAAAAGUGUUUUUCCUGGUUUUUGAUUUUUACAAAAGUAAUUUUUUAAAAUUAAUACUCUGUCUACCCUGAAGGUUUGUUCUUUGUCUAGUAUCCUGAACACUUCUAGAAUAUGUAUUUCUUACAACAGUCAAAUAUCACUUAUCUGGAUUUCAGAUUAUUCAUGCAAGUUACGGAAAGACUGUUAAUGUUUGGCACAAGCACAGUUCCACUGUUUCUCACACCACUUUACCUCUGGGACCAGUGUUGCCACUGUUCUGCAGCAAAACACACAGAAAAAACCACCCUGGCAGAUACUACCUGGUUUCCAGCAAGCCCAUCCAGGUCAGGUGCCUCCUGAUCUCCUUAUGAAGACUAGGGCUGCUGGGGAGUACAGAUACCCCCCACCCCAGAGAUCUCAGUCCCAGAAACUUGUUGGGUUCGAUGUAAACCCAUGUGAACACCUGGACCUGGCUGAGCUCUAGCACAGCACUGAGCCCACCAAAAAGCCAGAGCUGGGAGAGCAAUGCUGAUCCCAAGGAACAUGGCUGGCCCCUAAAGAAAACAUUAUGUACCACGUGUUUUUUCCUGGGAAGAUUCAGUCUAUGCUUCUAUUUAUUGUACCCAAGUCUCUGCACUUUCUGGCUUCUAGGAGGAAGUGCUGCCUUGAAUGCAGCACUAAGGCACAUGCUAGGCUUUGCACUGUGCUGUGCUACGCUAGAGGCAAAAAGUCCAUCCAAAAAGCCAAGGAUAGAACAGACCUACAUGGUAGCUUCUCUGAGCAAGCCAGAUGAGGUCCAAACUUGUUAAACUAGAGCUAAUAAAGUGUAUUUGUUGCCUACUAGAGGUACUGGUGGUACUUUGAACCACAUCCUCUCUAAACUAUACAUCCCUCAUGCAGUGUACUCCUGCAGAUCUUUCUCUUUGAUCUGUAGAUUAUAGAGGGUGUGGCCACAUAUUCUGAAUUUAUUUAUCUAAUUUACAUGAUAAGAAUCACCAUUCAAGGGUUCCUAGAUUUCUCCACAGGCUGCUAUAGAGAAUUUAGACUCCUACCUUUAGGUGUUGGGUAUCAAGCAAUCAAAGUAAUUGAAAAUAGAUGGUGUAUGUGUUUAGCAGAAUGGGGUUCAAAUCACACUAUUACCUCAUAUUCUAUUGCCCAGAAAAUCACUUCAGAAACACUUAUCUAAAAUCUACUAGCAAAAAAAUGCAGUGUGGGAAGGAAAUUUCAGUUCACUGUUCUCCUUACUGGAGAUGUUCUUCAGUUCAAAGUAAAUGGAAGUAGAAAUACUUUAUAGCUACUGAAGUAGUCAGUGUGGGCAGGGAAUCGUCUGAAAGAAGAGCCCUCUCUUGGCAUCUGUUGGGAAAGAGUGAAAGUGAACAAUUGAACCAGACAUCAUUUACAUGCAAGAUGUGCAAUAACAGAAUACUUCUAUCAGAGAAAAAAAAAAUUAUUAUGUUGAAAUGAUUGAAGGACUGCAAGCCAUGUCCGGAAACCUCCAGAAAUUAAAUAUUUGACAAAUAUUCCUAUAGAAAAAUGCUGCUCUGACAGUGGCUGCAGCCAGAAAUGGGAAGGUGAAAGAUCCUGAGAGAAGUAAAAAUCAAGGCCAAUUCUGUCCAUUUUUGAAGGGUAAAUUUAUAUUUCAUGCACGAGCGAAUCAGUGAAGCAGUCUCCCAGAAGACCCAAAAGAGCUCACAGGCUGCAAACCAACAGCAGGGAAAGUUCUCUGGCAAUGAUGACAGAUGUGGGUAGGAAGGCAGCAGGAGUGGUGGUAGAGUUGAAGAGUGGCAACACAAAUAACAAAAGUUGCCUUUUACCCGGCAAUGCAUGCCCUGGAGUUCCACAUACUGCAAAGACUGACUAUUUCAGAUACUUCUUAACUUGGAUAAGGAUGUUAAUCUAUGUUUGGACUGCUGCCAUGGACGUGUGAGAAGAUUAAGUCCCUGCUAUUAACAUCAUUGUUACAGGGUAUUGCUUACCCAUUUCCACUCAACAGUAUUGACAGAGGCUAUGAAAAUUCCCCAGGAUAAAACUUUCUUUAGCUCAAAUUAAGCUACUCCUCAUUUCUUACCUGAAUAAAGAACAUUAAGAAGGUGAAGGAAAGAAGAAGAAUUAACUUUUCCCUGCAUAGAAUUUUGACUAGCUAUCAUCCUAAAAACAAAUAUUUUGAUGGAAAACACAGUAAAUGUCUAAAUGAUUGAUUAACUCUCUAUGAAGGUUAUCACCUAAGUUUCACACACUGCCAGUGGACUUUCUUUCCCCUUAAGUUUUCUAAAAGCAUGACAUAAAGGGGGAACACUUACUCAUCUGAAGAAUUCUCUAGCUUAUUUCCAAAAGACCAACAUGUUCCUUUUACAUUUCCCAUUUUUUAUUACCAUCUAGAUAAGAUCAGUGAAGAUUAAAUGGAAAAAAGUGUGUGUUGUAUUACUAAAAACUAUGGAUUCAUAGUCCCUGUGCUUGGGAGCCAGUAGUCUAUACCUGCUCUGUUUAAUAUUUGCAUCAAUGACCUGAAGGAGGUAGUGUGUACUCUUGACAAGUUUGCAGAUAACACCAAGCUGGAGGGACUGGUCAAUAUGCUCAUGGGCAGAACCAUCUUACAGCUGGACCUAGACAGGCUGGAUGAGUGGGCUGAUGGGACCUGUGAGAAAUUUUGCCAGGACAAAUGCAAAAUCCUGCCCUGGGGGAAAAAAGCCUAUAAGGUGGUACACAGACAUAUUGCCAAACUGGAGUGACCCAGUGAAGCACUACCAGGAUGCCCAGAUCAGGAGUUGGAGCAUCAGCCCAGAAACAAAGGGGUUCAAACAAUAAUGAGAACUGAGGAGCUCAGAGCGGAGAAGAAAGAAAACCUUUUGCCUCAAAGGACAGUGCAGUAGUGGAGCAGGUUGCCCCAAGACGCUGUGCAGCCUCCAGACAUGAAAGUUUUUGAAAUGCAACUGGGUAAAGCCCAGCAAGAUUUGUCCUCUUCACUGAACCUGCAUUGAGGUAGAGGUUGGACUGGAGAGCUCCUGAGAUCCCUUUCUAGCUGUGCACUUUCUGUGUUUAUGAUUGUGUUAAACAAGAAGCCAAGAAAAUAAAAUUAUAGAUUUAAACUGCAGUUACGAAUGCAGAAUAUUAACAAUAUUUUUAUUUAGUCUGCCUUCUGCAUUAUUUCAUGCAGUUUUGAAAAAUAAAAACUCUUUUUGUAAUUAGUGUAAGUAGUUUUUCACUCAAGAGAAACAUAUCCAUACUCACUCUAACCUCAAAGCAUAGGGAAUUUUAAACUACUCAGACUAAAUGACCUUUUUUCAGGCCUCCUGUAAAAGCUCUGCAAGUAAAGCAGUAUCAAUUAAGAGUGCAUUUUGCACUACUGCAUUAGCAAAAAGCCUAACAACAAAAUGUCACUUUAUUUCAAUACAAACUUCUAGACAAAGAAAC